GCCGGCGGGGCGGGUGCGGUGGCCCUGCCGCGGUGGCGGGAGACACUGCAGCGCCGCCGGCUUCAGCAGCAGCACGGAGUGCAGUGUUGUAUAUACGUACAGUUCCGUGGGCUUCACACUCAUGGGAAUGGAAGAGCGCGAGGCGAGGAACGAACUAUCGGGGCGUUUCAGUAGGGUUGUGCCGCUGACCGCUGAUUAACUCACCAAGAAGGCAAAGCCCUGUUUCCGUGCUUUAAUCAUUCAUACUAUCUCAUGUCAUCUCGGAAUUCUCUGGAACUGGAGUUAAUCCUGUGCUUACAACUGGUGGUUCUUCCAUUAAACUGGAUUUGCAAUGUACCAUCUGUUAAAGGCUUGCAGGUACACUUACCUUUAUUUAUGUGCAUAGUUCCAUUUAAGUCAACAGGACUACUUCCAGUACAUCAAAUUAAAAGGUUGCCCCACAGAUGGCUGCAUUUGCACAAAAAGCAUAGCAGAAGAUUGAUGUGGCAGCAGAAAAAAGUGGCAUAGGGAAGGAAGAGAACUGUCUAGAUCAAUUUUGCUGCUGGAGAAAAUGUAGUAUGGAAAUGCAUUCUGACUUGCAACUAAAGAAGAAAGGAUAAAAGCCUUUAAUGAAUUGAAA